GAAGUCAACAAGAUUAGCAGCUACUGCAACAGCAGCUCCACUGGAUGACCCACCAGGAACUCUGGAAUGCGAUGCAGGAUUUGUGGGUGUGCCAUAAUGCUUGUUUUCUCCACUGAUGCCCAUUGACAAUUCAUUGGUAACAGUUUUUCCAAUGCAAGUAGCUCCUCCUUCAACAAGAGCAGAAACUAUUGGAGACGUACGAGAAGCUGCAUCAUGUGUUCUUGCCCAGUCUGGAUGACCAAACCCAGUCACAUGUCCUUCAAUUUCAAAUACGUCGGAAACGGCGAAGGUGAGACCGGUCAGGGGAUGAGGAGCUUUAGGAGGAGCAGGCUGAGGAGGAGGAAGUAGCUGAAGCUUGUCGAUAAACGCUCCAAAGUCCUCUCUAAUCGCUUUCUUGAGUUUUUUGGUCAUCAGCAGGAUUCCAG
rnacentral:misc_RNA from 1 species